rnacentral:rRNA from 1 species
CGAACGCUGGCGGCAGGCCUAACACAUGCAAGUCGAGCGAGGACUUCGGUUCUAGCGGCGGACGGGUGAGUAACGCGUGGGAAUGUGCCCUUCUCUACGGAAUAGCCCUGGGAAACUGGGAGUAAUACCGUAUACGCCCUAUUGGGGAAAGAUUUAUCGGAGAAGGAUCAGCCCGCGUUGGAUUAGGUAGUUGGUGGGGUAAUGGCCUACCAAGCCGACGAUCCAUAGCUGGUUUGAGAGGAUGAUCAGCCACACUGGGACUGAGACACGGCCCAGACUCCUACGGGAGGCAGCAGUGGGGAAUCUUAGACAAUGGGGGCAACCCUGAUCUAGCCAUGCCGCGUGAGUGAUGAAGGCCUUAGGGUUGUAAAGCUCUUUCAGCUGGGAAGAUAAUGACGGUACCAGCAGAAGAAGCCCCGGCUAACUCC